UACAGAGGGGGCAAGCGUUGUUCGGAAUUAUUGGGCGUAAAGGGCGCGUAGGCGGCCCGCUAAGUCGAACGUGAAAUCCCCGAGCUCAACUCGGGAACUGCGUCCGAUACUGGCGGGCUUGAAUCCGGGAGAGGGAUGCGGAAUUCCAGGUGUAGCGGUGAAAUGCGUAGAUAUCUGGAGGAACACCGGUGGCGAAGGCGGCAUCCUGGACCAACACUGACGCUGAGGAGCGAAAGCCAGGGGAGCAAACGGG
rnacentral:rRNA from 1 species